AUUGAACGCUGGCGGCAGGCCUAACACAUGCAAGUCGGACGAGUGGCGGACGGGUGAGUAAUGUCUGGGAAACUGCCUGAUGGAGGGGGAUAACUACUGGAAACGGUAGCUAAUACCGCAUACCAUCGGAUGUGCCCAGAUGGGAUUAGCUAGUAGGUGGGGUAAAGGCUCACCUAGGCGACGAUCCCUAGCUGGUCUGAGAGGAUGACCAGCAAAACUGGAAUUGAGACACGGCCAAGACUCCAACGGCAGGCAGCAGUGGGGAAUAUUGCACAAUGGGCGCAAGCCUGAUGCAGCAAGGCCGCGUGUAUGAAGAAGGCCUUCGGGUGGUAAAGUACUUUCAGCGGGGAGGCGUUACCCGCAGAAGAAGCACCGGCUAACUACGUGCCAGCAGCCGCGGUAAUAC
rnacentral:rRNA from 1 species